rnacentral:rRNA from 1 species
ACUCCUACGGGAGGCAGCAGUGGGGAAUAUUGCACAAUGGGGAAGCCCUGAUGCAGCCAUGCCGCGUGUGUGAAGAAGGCCUCGGUUGUAAGCACUUCAGUAGGAGGAAGGUAGUGUAGUUAACACCUGCACUAUUUGACGUUACCUACAGAAGAAGCACCGGCUAACUCCGUGCCAGCAGCCGCGGUAAUACGGAGGGUGCGAGCGUUAAUCGGAAUUACUGGGCGUAAAGCGCAUGCAGGCGGCCUGUUAAGUCAGAUGUGAAAGCCCGGGGGCUUAACCUCGGAAUUGCAUUUGAAACUGGCAGGCUAGAGUCUUGUAGAGGGGGUAGAAUUUCAGGUGUAGCGGUGAAAUGCGUAGAGAUCUGAAGGAAUACCAGUGGCGAAGGCGGCCCCCUGGACAAAGACUGACGCUCAGAUGCGAAAGCUGGGGAGCAAACAGGAUUAGAUACCCUGGUAGGAUA